GUGGCUCAGAGGUAGAGCACUUGCCUUGCAUGCAUGAGGCCCUGGGUUCAAUUCCUCAGC
rnacentral:tRNA from 1 species